AGCAGGCUUCCUGCCAAACAGAGAGCCUCAUGUGGGGCUCGAUACAGGACCCUGGGACCAUGACCUGAGCUGAAGGCAGACGCUUAACGACUGAGCCACCCAGGUGCUCCGAGUGUGAAGCUCUUGACCUCAGCUCAGGUCUUGAUCAUGGGGUCAUGAGUUCAAGCCCUGUGUAAAAAACAACAAAAACAGAUACAGUUUUAAAAUAAAUUUAUUUUAUUUUUAAUCUUUAUUUUAUUAUUAAAAAUAAAUUUUAUAAAGAUUUUAUUUAUUUAUUAGAGAGAGAGAGGGAGAGAGAGAGAGACGCAAGGGAGGGACAAACAGACUUCGCACUGAGUGUGGAGCCCAUUGCAGGGCUUGAUCCCAGGACCCUGAGAUCAUGACCUGAGCUGAAAUCAAAAGUCCGCCGCUCAACCGACCAAGCCACCCAGGUACCCCUAAAAAUAAAUUUUAAAUAAAAAUAAAUAAAAUAAAAAUCUUACAUGAUUACCAAAACAAUACAUAUUAAUGUAGAACAAUUGGACAAUAUAAAGAACAACAAGAAAGAAAGAAAAAAGAACCCUUCAGCCAAGAUAGGCACUGUUAUCAGUUUGGUAUAUUACAAUGGAUUUGGUAUAUUUUUUGGAAAUUUUAACGACUACUUUGUCCCUAACUUUUUACUUUGAAAACCUUCAAACCUGUAGAGAAGUCGAAAGAACAAUGUGAUGAAAACUAGUGUACCUUCUACCAUCAAUUUUUUUUUUUUUAAGAUUUUAUUUAUUUAUUUGACAGAGAGAGACACAGCAAGAGAGGGAACACAAGCAGGGGGAGUCGGAGAGGGAGAAGCAGGCUUCCCACAGAGCAGGGAGCCCGAUGUAGGGCUCGAUCCUAGGACUCUGGGAUCACGACCUGAGCUGAAGGCAGACGCCCAACGACUGAGCCACCCAGGCGCCCCUCAGUUGUUAGCAUUAUACCACAUAUACACUUCUUUUUCUUUUCCUGAGCCAUUUGAAAAGAAAGCAAGAGCAUGAGCAGGAGGGGCAGAGGGAAAGGGAGAGAGGAUCUCAAGCCGACUCUACACUGAGCACGGAGCCUGAUGCAGGACUCAAUCCCAGGACCCUGAGAUCAUGACCUGAGCCAAAACCAAGAGUCUGACGCUUAACCGACUGAGCCACCCAGGUGCCCCCAUCAGCAUGCAUUUCUAAGAAUAAGGACAUUCUCCUACAUAACACAGUAUCUCACCUGAGAAGAUCAGUAUGAAUUCAAGAAGGUCUGCAUAUGUCUUACUUAUCAGUAUGUCUUACUACAGAUUCUGAAUGUUUUCCCCUUUCUUAUAUCUUUCACCUUUCAAGGCAGAACUUCAAUCACUUACCUAGCCAGCUAAGCCAAAGCAACUAGAUGCUGGGGAGGAAAGAAAGAGACUCUCUAAGAGCAUGGAAAUCUGGAAACCUGCCAGAAGGACACUGCUCAGAGGAGUCCAGGACAUUUCUUUUCCCCUGAGCUCAUUUUCCAGGCUGUGGGCUAGAGCUUUGCUUUGGGAUCCUUCCCUCCCUUCCUCUCUACCUCCCCAAACCGUAGUAUCUACUUGUUCUGCGCUAGAUUCUGCACCAAGGUCUGCCAACCCAAGUGAACUUGGUCUCUAAUCUCAAGAAAGUACAGAAAAGGCAGAGUUUCUCUCUGGUGAGUGGUUUCUGUCCUUGGCAUUGUAAUCUGUCAUUUAAGAACAUCAUGCCCAUGGGGCGCCUGGGUGGCUCAGUUGGUUAAGCAACUGCCUUCGGCUCAGGUCAUGAUCCUGGAGUCCCGGGAUCGAGUCCCGCAUCGGGCUCCCUGCUCGGCAGGGAGUCUGCUUCUCCCUCUGAUCCUCCCCCUCUCAUGCUCUCUGUCUCCCAUUCUCUCUCUCAGAUAAAUAAAUAAAAAAUCUUUAAAAAAAAAAAAAAAAAGAA